rnacentral:tRNA from 1 species
UCCCUGGGAGCUCAGCCGGUAAAGCGUCUGCCUACAACGCAGGAGACCCGGGUUCGAUCCCUGCAUCGGGAA